rnacentral:rRNA from 1 species
CGAUGAACCACAUUCGGUGGGGAUUAGUGGCGAACGGGUGAGUAACACGUGGGCAAUCUGCCCUGCACUCUGGGACAAGCCCUGGAAACGGGGUCUAAUACCGGAUACUGACCCUCACGGGCAUCUGUGAGGUUCGAAAGCUCCGGCGGUGCAGGAUGAGCCCGCGGCCUAUCAGCUUGUUGGUGAGGUAAUGGCUCACCAAGGCGACGACGGGUAGCCGGCCUGAGAGGGCGACCGGCCACACUGGGACUGAGACACGGCCCAGACUCCUACGGGAGGCAGCAGUGGGGAAUAUUGCACAAUGGGCGAAAGCCUGAUGCAGCGACGCCGCGUGAGGGAUGACGGCCUUCGGGUUGUAAACCUCUUUCAGCAGGGAAGAAGCGAAAGUGACGGUACCUGCAGAAGAAGCGCCGGCUAACUACGUGCCAGCAGCCGCGGUAAUACGUAGGGCGCGAGCGUUGUCCGGAAUUAUUGGGCGUAAAGAGCUCGUAGGCGGCUUGUCACGUCGGUUGUGAAAGCCCGGGGCUUAACCCCGGGUCUGCAGUCGAUACGGGCAGGCUAGAGUUCGGUAGGGGAGAUCGGAAUUCCUGGUGUAGCGGUGAAAUGCGCAGAUAUCAGGAGGAACACCGGUGGCGAAGGCGGAUCUCUGGGCCGAUACUGACGCUGAGGAGCGAAAGCGUGGGGAGCGAACAGGAUUAGAUACCCUGGUAGUCCACGCCGUAAACGGUGGGCACUAGGUGUGGGCAACAUUCCACGUUGUCCGUGCCGCAGCUAACGCAUUAAGUGCCCCGCCUGGGGAGUACGGC